rnacentral:tRNA from 1 species
AGAGGAGUAGUUUAUUAAGAAUAUUGUUUUUGUAAAACAAAGGUGCGGUUGUGGUGCUGCUUCUU